GGGGAUGUAGCUCAGUGGUAGAGCGCGUACUUUGCAUGCAUGAGGUCCUGGGUUCGAGCCCCAGCGUCUCCA